rnacentral:lncRNA from 1 species
AGCGCAUGGUAAUGUUUGCAUGGCAUAUCGUGUGAAUGGAGAUAGAAGGUGUCGGAAUGGGGUGUGUUCUGUAGAGUCCUUCUUUGUGUCCAGUGGAAGCCAUUGCUGGCAGACCUGCAUUCCCCUGGGGCAACUCUGAACCAAAAAGCCUUGCCUAGGAGCCUACAUCAAACCUGACAGUGCCUUUCCUGGCUUCUGGACCCAGUCUUCAACCAUUCUGGGUUCUACACAGUGCCCUUGAGGACAAGAACAAAUCCUGAUGUUCCAUGUUCUGGGGUCUUGAAAGCCUUUUGCAGUUGGUGUCUCAAACUGAAGUUUCCAGGCAUAUUUUCAUUGAACAUCUAGAAAGUUAAAGGGAAAAUCUCAGCAGAAACCAGAAUGGUGUUGCCUCCUCUCACAUCUUCAUCCUCUCUCCCACCUCCCAUGGAAGAAAGGAGACACAAGCACUCACGGACUCUGACCAACAGUGCUCUGCCACCUUCAACACCCUCAGUGGGUCCUGAGGUAUCUCAAAGAUUUCCCAAGACAUUGGAGGAGAAGCACACAAUUUCACUUUGAGAUGGGACACCCAACUUAUGUGUUAUCUUCCACUUGACUCAGAAAAUCAUUUGAAAUGAGCUAUGGCUCCAGUCUGGCAUGUCCAGAGGCAAGGAUGAGCUCAUGCUCAUCCCACAGCAUGCUCUGUUCUAACUAAUCAGACCCUUCCUGACCUACACACACACCUCAGCCCCACUAUAAUGAGAAGGAAAUAUGCUUGUGUUUUAUUCUGGUUAUGAUAUGACAUCCAAACUGUUAUGUUUCUAUUUCUAAAUUCAAUUAAAAAA